rnacentral:rRNA from 1 species
CCUACGGGAGGCAGCAGUAGGGAAUAUUGGUCAAUGGGUGCGAGCCUGAACCAGCCAUGCCGCGUGCAGGAAGAAGGCCUUCUGGGUUGUAAACUGCUUUUGCCAGGGGAUAAAAAGUCUCUGCGGAGAAAAUUGAAGGUACCUGGUGAAUAAGCCACGGCUAACUACGUGCCAGCAGCCGCGGUAAUACGUAGGUGGCAAGCGUUGUCCGGAUUUAUUGGGUUUAAAGGGUGCGUAGGCGGCCUAUUAAGUCAGUGGUGAAAUAUCUCAGCUUAACUGAGAAGGUGCCAAUGAUACUGAUGGGCUUGAGUACAGAUGAGGUAGGCGGAAUUGACGGUGUAGCGGUGAAAUGCUUAGAUAUCGUCAAAAGCACCUAUAGCGAAGGCAGCUUACUAGGCUGUAACUGACGCUGAGGCACGAAAGUGUGGGGAUCAAACAGGAUUAGAUACCCUGGUAGUCCACACUGUAAACGUUGAUUACUCGCUGUGUGCGAUAUACAGUACGCGGCCAAGCGAAAGCGCUAAGUAAUCCACCUGGGGAGUACGCCGGCAACGGUGAAACUCAAAGGAAUUGACGGA